GAAUUAUUAGGUCAUGAGCAAAAUGGAUGGAGCAAAGAGAUCUGUGUUAAGACUGUGAAAGAUGGCAAAAUAGUGUGAACUGCUGAGAGCCACAGGGGAGAGAAGCCAAUCUGAAACAAUCAGGAACUAUCAGGUUGAAAGCUCGUAUGUCCAAUGAUUACAGUGGAACCCCUGUUCUGGAACUUACUUCAUUCUGGAAGGCUAUUUGAGAAGCAAUUUGUUCGAAAACCAAAUCAUUCUUUCUCAUUAGAAAUCAUAUGCUUUUUAUAAUGCUGAUGUGUCAACAGGAAAGGGUUGUCAGAUUCAGAAUUGAAGUUUUGUUAGAAAGUGGAGACAUUUUUUUCGUGAACAACUUCGUAGAGAACUGAAUUUUCAAGAACUAAAUUGUUCGAGAUGGGAGACUACUUUCAAGAGCUAAGGUUUGACUGUAUUCUUUAUUUUUUCUUUAGGAAUAGAGUUAUAGUAAUGCUAAAUUGAAGACAUAUAGUUUGGAUAUAUAUAUAUGUAAAAAAAAGACAGCCUAUGGUCUGAGUUACCAAAGGAAGAAGUUACUGGAAAUCCACGCAAUUACAUGCAAAGAGAAUAGCAAGCAAUAGGAGCCAGGAAAACUAAUGGAAAUAAAUAACACAAGUAACACAUGAAAAAACUUAAUAGAAUUAAUAAAAUACACAAAAACUGUUACUUUGUGAUAAAA